CAGAGGAACCUGUUCCAUAAUCGAUAAUCCACGAUGGACCUUACUUAAAUUUGUUUAGUUUAUAUACCGUCGUUAUGAAAAACUUUUUUAGAAUAAUAGUUUUUAAUAAUUAUAAUUAUAAUUAAUAUCAGAUCAAGGUGUAGCUUAUGUUUAAGAGGAAAUGGGUUACAAUAAAUUUAUUUAUAUGGAUUUUUUAAUGAAAUUAAAAAUGAAGGUGGAUUUGAAAGUAAAAAUUUAUAGAUUAAAGUUUUGAAAUUAGCUCUAAGGUAUGUAC
rnacentral:rRNA from 1 species